UACAGAGGGCGCGAGCGUUGUCCGGAAUCACUGGGCGUAAAGGGCGCGUAGGUGGCGGCAUAAGGCCGUGGUGAAAGUCUGGGGCUCAACCCCAGAUCGGCCAUGGCGACUGUGUCGCUAGGGUACUGUAGAGGCAGGUGGAAUUCCGGGUGUAGCGGUGGAAUGCGUAGAGAUCGGAAGGGACACCAGUGGCGAAGGCGGCUACCUGGCCUGAUACUGACACUGAGGCACGAAAGCGUGGGGAGCAAACAGG
rnacentral:rRNA from 1 species